UACAGGGGGUGCAAACGUUGCUCGGAAUUACUGGGCGUAAAGGGUCUGUAGGUGGCCAACUAAGUCAGACGUGAAAUCCCUCAGCUUAACUGGGGAACUGCGUCUGAUACUGGAUGGCUUAAGUGUGGGAGAGGAAUGCGGAAUUCCAGGUGUAGCGGUGAAAUGCGUAGAUAUCUGGAGGAACACCGGUGGCGAAGGCGGCAUUCUGGACCAUAACUGACACUGAGAGACGAAAGCCAGGGGAGCAAACGGG
rnacentral:rRNA from 1 species